rnacentral:rRNA from 1 species
CAGGCCUAACACAUGCAAGUCGAACGAAGGCUUCGGCCUUAGUGGCGCACGGGUGAGUAACGCGUGGGAAUCUACCUAGCUCUACGGAAUAACCCAGGGAAACUUGGACUAAUACCGUAUACGCCCUUCGGGGGAAAGAUUUAUCGGAGUUGGAUGAGCCCGCGUUGGAUUAGCUAGUUGGUGGGGUAAUGGCCUACCAAGGCGACGAUCCAUAGCUGGUCUGAGAGGAUGAUCAGCCACACUGGGACUGAGACACGGCCCAGACUCCUACGGGAGGCAGCAGUGGGGAAUAUUGCGCAAUGGGCGAAAGCCUGACGCAGCGACGCCGCGUGAGGGAUGACGGCCUUCGGGUUGUAACCUCUUUCGACAGGGACGAAUCAAGACGGUACCUGUAUAAGAAGCACCGGCUAACGACGUGCCAGCAGCCGCGGUAAU